rnacentral:rRNA from 1 species
AACGAACGCUGGCGGCAUGCCUAACACAUGCAAGUCGAACGAGACCUUCGGGUCUAGUGGCGCACGGGUGCGUAACGCGUGGGAACCUGCCCUUAGGUUCGGAAUAACUCCCCGAAAGGGGUGCUAAUACCGGAUAAUGUCUUCGGACCAAAGAUUUAUCGCCUUUGGAUGGGCCCGCGUUGGAUUAGCUAGUUGGUAGGGUAAAAGCCUACCAAGGCGACGAUCCAUAGCUGGUCUGAGAGGAUGAUCAGCCACACUGGGACUGAGACACGGCCCAGAAUGCGACGGGAGGGAGCAGUAGGGAAUAUUGGACAAUGGGCGAAAGUCUGACCCAGCAAUGCGGGGUGAGUGAGGAAGGGCGUAGGGUUGUAAAGCUGUUUUAGACGGGAUGAUAAUGACAGUACCGGGAGAAUAAGCACCGGCUAACUACGUG